CAGUUUGUCCUUCUUUCUUAGACUAGCGGACGCUGAAUGCUGUCGUCCAGUUAUCCCUGAUCACUGCGGAGACUGCAGCCGUACAUUGUAUGCCUGUGGUGUAGGGGAAUGUGAUAGACUCGGUUGUAACUGUGUAGGAGGCUGCAGAUCCGGUUGCUCGAAUGUGAGAUAUUCCGGAUUUUGGCUUAGCCGAGGCUGCAAGUGCAACCGCAAGAGGUCCGCGACUGCAGGUGUAGAUUACAGCAUUGACGCCAGUGUAGUAUUCAGUAAC